UAUCAGGUGCCUGCUGACUGACCAAUGAACAGCUCUCACCUGGGGACCUUAUGCCCUAGAAUAUUGUGCCUCUGGUCUGAAGGAAGUCUGAGGGUAGGAGGGGCUGGGGGAGACUGAGCUGGAACUCCAUUCUUUCCAGUUUCCUGUCCUUAGGAGUGCCCUGGGGCAUUUAUGAAGCUCAUUAGUAAAGUAGCAAUUAAUGUGGGGCCCAGAGCUUGGCUUCUUCCUGCCAGGGAGGCCACAAAGUUCCAGAACGUCCCAGGGAGGAAUGGGGCACCACCCAGGCCUGCCUCCUGGGGCUGCAAAACAAUCCCUAAUGAGUCCUCUCCAGGGGAGGGUGAAGUCACCUGCAAGGAGGCAGCUGAGCCGAAGGUGUUCUCCACGAGGCUUAAAAUAGCCCGGCUCCCUCCACAAAUGCCUUCCCAACACUGUUUAGGAUGGCAAAUGCCAGGAAACUAAUGAAUCUGAGCUUAGUGAAUUAAUUGUUGAUGAAAUAAUGUGAAUAGUGUGCUUCCUGUUCAUCAGUCUCUACAGAAAUUAAUUAGCCCCACUUGGCAGCAAACAGGAUCGAAUUUUCAACUUAAUUUAUGAAUUUGGCCAAACUAUCUAUGGGAAGUCUUGCCUGGAGGACCUUCCGUGGCUGCUUCAUGUCCCAACAGGCCUUGCCUUUCAUAGAAGACAUGAUUGCUUUAAGAGAGUCCCAACCAGAGAAGAGGAUGGUGGAGCAGGGAAGAGGGGAAGGUAGGACUGAACAGAGGCUUUGAUUGUGAGGCUCCAGCCUGACCCAUGCUUCCUCCUGCCUUCCUGCCUCAACCCUUCCCGGUGGACCCCUCACCAGAUGAAGGUCUGUUAGCUGAGCUGGGGGAUGAUGACUCAGAGCAAUCGGGCCGACUUUCAGGCAAGGCCUAAGUUUGGUUUUAAUUAUGCUGUGCUAUGUGCAUGAACUAAAAUUGCGGGAUGAUGUGAAAGAAAAAUAAGAAGUGUAUUUUUUGGACUAUUUUUAAAUUCAGUUUGGGGGUAGGGGGGGCAUCUUCUUGGGUCUGGAGAGAAUAAUGUGAGGAAUUGGCUCCUAUGGGGCAUGAAUUAGAGCCUUGAUCCUAUAUGCCCCUGAAUGGAACCCAGAGGAGCUGCUGGCUCUCGCGAGUGAGCAGUCAGCCUUUGUCAUCAUGCAGGUCAGGCUCUCUGAUUGCAGCUAGUGUGUCCAGGAAUCCCAAUCAGACAUCCCUGCUGCGCAGUCAAGAAUCCUAUGUAGGCCAGGUGCAGUGGCUCACACCUGUAAUCCCAGCACUUUGGGAGGCCGAGGUGGGUGGAUCACCUGAGGUCAGGGGUUCAAGACCAGCCUGGCCAACGUGGUGAAACCCCGUCUCUACUAAAAAUACAAAAAUUAGCCGGGCAUGGUGGCAGGCACCUGUAAUCCUAGCUGCUCAGCAGGGGCUGAGGCAGGAGAAUCACUUGAACCCAGGGGGCGGAGGUUGCAGUGAACUGAGAUCACGCCAUUGCACUCCAGCCUGAGGGACAAGAGCAAGACUUAAGUCUCAAAAAAAAAAGAAAAAAAAAAAAAA
ensembl:lncRNA